rnacentral:rRNA from 1 species
AGAGUUUGAUCCUGGCUCAGGACGAACGCUGGCGGCGUGCUUAACACAUGCAAGUCGAACGGACAUAGAUUAGAGUUUACUCUGAUCUAUGUUAGUGGCGAAAGGGUGAGUAACGCGUGGGCAACCUGCCCAGUACCGGGGAAUAACAGCGGGAAACCGUUGCUAAUACCGCAUAAUAUCUUUUUGAGACAUCUCAGAAAGAUCAAAGGAGAAAUCCAGUACUGGAUGGGCCCGCGUCCGAUUAGCUAGUUGGUGGGGUAAAGGCCUACCAAGGCGACGAUCGGUAGCCGAACUGAGAGGUUGAUCGGCCACAUUGGGACUGAGACACGGCCCAGACUCCUACGGGAGGCAGCAGUGGGGAAUAUUGCACAAUGGACGAAAGUCUGAUGCAGCAACGCCGCGUGAAGGAAGAAGGUCUUCGGAUUGUAAACUUCUUUGAUCAGGGAAGAAUAAUGACAGUACCUAAGAACAGCC